UGGAGGCACUACUGUAAGUCACUUUAGAUAAAAGUGUCUGCUAAAUGACACUUC
rfam:Salmo salar isolate Sally breed double haploid chromosome ssa08, whole genome shotgun sequence.